AUUUAUUAAUUGAUCUAUAAUUGUUGAUGAUAUUAGUUGUUCCGACUAUGCAAAUGUAUUCUGCAGUCCUCGUUCCGCAUUUUAUGCUCGUCGCAGGGUGUUUUCCAUAAUAUACUAUGCAUACUACUGUGCACAAAGGAUGCUUUGAUUUAAUUUAUUAAAAUACUAACAGUUGUAUUUUUUUCCAUGUUCAAUUACCUGUCAAUGUUGCUAACUUAAAUAUAGUGUUUUGCUGUAGGUUGGUAUCGAUUCCUGUUGAUUCUGGGGAACACCGUUUUCAGUACUUCAAACUACGUUGAUGUUUUCUUGCAGUAUGGGAGAACUUUUUAUAUAGUUGUUUUGGAACCGUGACACUAAUACCUGCAGAAACUGUGCACAGCUUUUUGGAAUUGUUAUUCUGGCAUAAAAUUUCAUCGCAUCAUCUGAGAGUUACGAUUCAAGGUGACAGAAUAAUUGUUUUAUUAUGUUGAUUAUAAAAGAAAUAGGUGGUGAGCUCACUAUAUAUAUUAGUGAACUACUCUGAUGAACUACAUGAUGAAUGAUACAAUACAGGUGCUGGCAUGCUAUCCAUGGCAAACUCAGGGCUAAACACUAAUCGAGGAUCCAUGGGUUCCCGCUUUACAGUACCAGUUUUUCCACCUUUACCAGAUUUCUUGUGUGCUAAAUUGUGAUUUUCAGAUUAUAUUGUUAUUAGUUGAUAAUUUUAUACAUAUAUAUAUAUUACUUUUUAGGUAUUCCUCAGUAAAUGAUGAUGUCAUCAAUUCACUGAGGAAUCUAUACAAUGUAUAUCCAGAACUUUUCAGUGUAUCUAACGUCCAAUCUUCUGGUUUAAUGUUUUGCACUUUUGUUUCCAGAAGAGCUUUUAUUUUAGCUGGUAUUGUAAAUGUUGCUACGUCUUGAAACUUCUAAACAAACAAAAUUAUUAUAAGUAUUUUAUGAAAUGUGAAUUGUUUUAAAGUUGUGUAAUAAGUUAAUAUAUAUUUUAAUCGUGCAGUGUAUAGUUUUAACUUAAUGUAUAUAGUCUCCCUAGCGGAGUUUUGUCGGGUCGGAUCCCGUGUUGAACCAGUGUGCUUCACCCGUGUGAAGUGUGACACUGGUGAAACACACUGGUGUUACACCUCUUGUUCGCCUGAUAGGGCGGGUUUAACACCGGUGUAAGUUAUAAAGCUUUACCCGAAAAUUUUAUAGUUAUUUUGCACCGGUAUUGUUCUAGUUAAAUAUACCCGUAUAAAGCUCAAA